GAGCGGCCCCGCCCCCGCGCCGGGCGGAGCUGCGGGAGAAGGCUGGGCGGCCGCCCGUGUGCUGCAGGAGUCUGCUGCUGGGACGUUUCCAUGCCCGCUUCUUCCCUUUAUUCCCUUCUUCAUCUCUUUUAUUUCCCUUUCAUUCCUCCCAUUCUUUCCUUCUCCCUCCUCUUUCCCUUCCUCUUUCCUUCCUUUUCCCUCGCCUUUUCCUUUCUUUCUUCCCUCCCUACAUCCUUCUCUUCCUUUCUUUCCUUCUCUCCCUUCCUCCAUCUCUUCGUCUUUCCCUCUCUCCUUCUUUCUCCCACUUUCCUUCCUCUCUCCUCUCUUUUCUCCCGCCGUUCUGCUUCCUUCCCUUUUAAUUUUUCCCCUUAAAAAAUUGUUUUUAAACUGUUUUGAACUGUGGUAAAAAACAUAAAAUUUAUCAUCUUAACCAUUUUUGUUUUUAAAGAUUUGCUGUGAGCUAACAUCUGUUGCCAGUAUUCUUUUUAAAUUCUUCCUCUUCUCCGCAAAGCCCCCCAGUACAUGGUUGUAUCUUCUAGUUGUGAGUGCCUCUGGUUGUGGCAUGUGGGACGCCGCCUCAAGCGUUGCCUGAUGAGCCGUGCCAUGUCCGCGCCCAGGAUCCCAACUAGCAAAACCCCCUGGAUGGGAAAGCGGAGCAUGAACCCAAACACUUGCCCGCAGGCUGGCCCCCCAUCUGAACCAUUUUUGAGCAUAUGGUUCCGUGGUGUUGAGUACAUUCACAUUGUUGUCAGCCAUCUCCAGAACUCUUCAUCCUGCAGAACAGAAACUCUAGACCUGUUGAAUAACGACAACCAUUUCCCCCUCCUCCCAGCCUCUCGUAACCACGUUCUACUCUUUUUUUCUUCAUUCUUCCUUUUGCCUUUCUGUGCCUUUCUCCCUUUUCCUUUAUCUCUCCUUUUUCUUCCCCUCCCUCUUUCCGUCUUUCUCUUCUUAAAAGCCUGAUGGCCCUGAUUCACCCUUGCCAGCCCUCCACAGCCUCUGCCAGGGGCUGGGCCAGAGGCCUGUCAGCCAGGGCUGUGAGCGCGGGUAGGUGUCUUGGAUAAUUCAUUCACGGAGGAUCACUUAGUCCAACUUGAUGAAGCCUGUAUCCUUCGAGUACUGACAGAAACUGGCAGCACAUACUGAGGCCAUAUUUCCGGAUCAGACAGGGCCAGUUUGAGCAGAUGCAGCAAGAGAAGAAGUCUGGCUAAGUUUCUGUGGGUGUCUCCAGUAGAGCUGCUGGUGACCCGUCUUGCUUUCAGGGGUGCAGUGAGGUGAAAGGUCGCAGAACUGGUGCUUUGCAAAACCAGCUGUGUCCUGGUCUACUGGCUGACCCUAUGCUAUCCUGCUUCUCAUUGAUUCUGGAGGAUAGAGACCCACAGAAAGGCAGAACGUGGCCUGGGGCCCCAGCCCCUCAGGCAGGACGGCCACUUUAUCCAGAGGCGCCUUCCUUCCUGGGCCUUCCAAGACACCUGGCUGCAAGGACACAGUGAAGAGGGGAAAAGAAUUUCAAGAGCAUUCUAAGAGCCGCCUCCGUUCUCUUACCGUGCAGGGAAGGAGCAUGUACUCAAAGAUCCGACCAGGAAGAAAGAUUUGAUCUCCCGGCAGGAUCCACUUCCCAUGGCGACGCCUUCUUGAGUCGAAGCUCUGGUAUGAAAUCUUUUUGGUGAAUGCCUUGGAGGUUUGGGUUCAGUGGACUUUGACUGCGUGUCUCCAGAAAGCUCAGCACAUGCCUCCUGAAGCAGAUAUCCAGCCGGCUGAAGCUUGCUGCCGUGGAACCAAUCGUGAGACCGUUGCACAGUGGUGUCUGCGUGAGAUCAGUGCAAUACCGUGAAGAGUCCGCUUGAUUUGGGGGAAGUGCUCGCACAGCAGUCAAGAGGUCUAGAUGUGAGCCUGACUCUGCCACUAAAGCUGUGUGACAUUGUCUAAGUGUCUGCCUCUCUCUGGGGCUCGAUUUCUUUCUCUGUGUAGUGAGGGUGGGGUCAGACAAAUGCUGAGGAGCUUUCUAGCACUGACCUUCAAUGAUUCUUGUAGGCAGACACUGUGACACAUGUGUCUUGGCUCCCGUAUCCCCAACCCAGGACCUGGUGUAGCACCAGAAACAAAAUAGGUACUAAGCAAAUGCUUAUUAGAUGCACAGCUAAAGGAAUUGCUCAGGAGAUAAAUGACAAUAACACCCCAGCUCCCACAGAUGCAUAGCAUUGAAGGGAUCAACACAUCAUUUAAGGAAAGUUUUUAUUUUUAUCAGAGUUAUAGAUAGUUUAAAGAGUCACAUAACUCCAUAAGAUUGACAAU
rnacentral:lncRNA from 1 species